GGCGCCGUGGCUUAGUUGGUUAAAGCGCCUGUCUAGUAAACAGGAGAUCUCGAGUUCGAAUCUCGACGGGGCCU